UACGUAGGGUGCAAGCGUUGUCCGGAAUUAUUGGGCGUAAAGAGCUCGUAGGCGGUCUGUCGCGUCUGCUGUGAAAUCUCAGGGCUUAACCCUGAGCUUGCAGUGGGUACGGGCAGACUAGAGUGCGGUAGGGGAGACUGGAAUUCCUGGUGUAGCGGUGAAAUGCGCAGAUAUCAGGAAGAACACCCGUGGCGAAGGCGGCUCUCUGGGACGGUACUGACGCUGAGACGCGAAAGCGUGGGGAGCGAACAGG
rnacentral:rRNA from 1 species